rnacentral:lncRNA from 1 species
UGAAGAAUGCCGAAUAGGUGUUGUCGAAAGGGCAGAGGAGAAGUCUAUGAGAGGAGUCGUAAGAAUUAAAGUGUGCCAGAUGGAAAGAUCCAGUACUACACCACCUACAGACAAGCGUACCACAUGGAGCAACAGCCCGUCUACAAGUGCUGCCCUGGUUGGAGCCAGUGGGACAAUGAACCUGGCUGCCUAUGCUGCGGUGGGAACAUGUUUCAAAGGAAGGAGGUGCUCAGACGGCGAGGCCCAGCAGAGCCAGUAUUCAGAGGGUUUUCAAGGCCCCCACUGUCAAUAUGAACUCCAUGAAGAGGUCUUGGGCUAAUUUAUUCAAUAUAGUGCCAAACGGCCGUGGAACAAUAUAAAUGAAUGUACCACUGACAACGGUGGCUGUCAGAACCAAUGCUGUAAUGCAAUUGGCAGUUAUUACUGCAAGUGUCAAGCUGGCCAGAAGCUGGAGGAAGAUGGCAGAGGAUGUGAAGGUAACGUUUAGGACUGUCUGCUUACAGAUAAGGAAAGAGAGAGCAUCUAUGUAAUGCAAAAGAGGGGGUUUGUCUUUUAUCCAUAGCCAGUUGAACUGCCUGUGUUGAAUGUUGUCAAGAGCACAGAUCUUCCUCUCAUGUCUAGAUUACAAAAUUGUAACCCUAAGAACACUUCAAGUAGCUUAUUAUAGGAAACAUAUGAUUAUACGCUGGUUUGGUUGUGUCAUGUUCUGAUUAUGGAAUUUCAAUCGUUCAUUUAAAUCCCUGGGUAAAGUACACAUUUUCGAAAGCAUUUCAUUUAAUUCUAAAGUAAAAAUGGUGCUUAUCAUAAAAUACUCAUAUGUUGCUACAGUGGAGAUGGAGGGGCACGAAACUAAGCACAGGAUCAGUAUUCUUGGUGCAGAAUUAGCUUUUUUUUUUUUUUUCACAAACUCCAAUUUACUGUCUCCUUUUAAAAUUAAUUCCUGCCUUCCUUUAUUUAUGAAUUCAUCAUUUGGUUCAUUUGACAAUCGUUGAGUUCCUGCUCUGUAGCAGGCAUUAUUCCACGUUCUGUGGAUAUAAAAAUUAAUGAGAAAUAAAUUCUGCCCUGAAGGAGUUUACUGAUUAGAAGCAAAGAUUGAAACAGAAACCAAAACCUUACAGAAUGGUGUUCUAAGGCAUUAUCACAUGCGGUUAAAUGCACUGGGUUCAGAGACCUGAAUUUGAAUCUCAGCUCUCUCACUUAAUAAUUUAGGUAACCCUGCAGAUGUUAUUUAGCCUUGCUAAGACUCGAUCCUCAUCUAUAAUAUUUGGGAUAAUGGUACUUUCUAAAAUCACAAAAGUUGCCAUGGAAUUCAAUAAGAUAAUGUGCCUAAAGCAUUUAGCAUAGUGGGUGGCAUAUAGUGGGUAUUCAGAAUUUUAGUCUCAUCUAGGAACUCAGUUAUUGCCCAUACUGGGAAUGUCAUGGGGGCCAGAGACUGCUUCCUUUUCUCUAAGAAGGAGAUAUCCAAAUUAAAAGGAACCCUGUACAAUGUCUUAUUACUGUUCCUUCUGAUUCCCCCCCCCAUCUAUUCAUAUUACUAAAAUGCUGGAGCAUUUUUUUUAGAUCACUUAGAAAUGUAUUUAUUCUAUGUUUGCCCAUUGACCUUACAAUCAUGCUCUUUUUUUUUUUUUUUACGUCUGACAAUGUCUGUUCCUGAUGGGACAUACGUGAAUAACUGGGUAGGAGAAAACAAAAUAAACAAAAGACAUCCAGCUGAGGACAACUGGGGCUGGGGCUGUGGGUUUGAUUGGGACUGCCAAGGUAAGACAAGUUGUAGAUGUGAGUAGGUUAGCGGAUUUAUCAGACCCUCAGGAAGCAGUCCCUUCUGGCAAGUUGUGGCAGUCAGCAACAGGAAGGGCCCCAGGUAAGCCUGCAGAUACUCAAAGCCAACUGCAUCUGGGCCUUCCUGAGACAGGCUUCACCCUCUGCCAGGAAGAGUAUAAAUUAAUACAGGCAAGCCCUACAUUUACACAGGCUCCUUUCAUUCAAGGGAGAUAAUCUUUAUACGCUGAUGAGAUUAUCUGUCAGUGGUGUUCUUGCUAUUGAUUCAAUAUCAGAGAACAGGAGGACUCAAGGACCCCAUGGUGUCCAAAUGAAAAGUGGGACAGUGACCGCUGAAGACAGCAUGGUCUACAUGAUGAGAAUAUUCUUUGUCAUGACCUUCCCUUCCCUGGCAGGCAGCGAUCUCUUGUUUCUUUUGGCUGACUAUUGUUAUCACCAUCAUCCUUAUUAUAGAUAUAUCUGAAGUGCCCUGCACAGCAAUUAGCCAUUGGUAGGUAUAAUAAUCGCUAUUAUGUUUAUAAUAACUAUUAGGCUAACAAGUCAUGAUAAACUUUGUACCCACUAAUUCAUUUACAUGCAAUUAUCUCACAUUUAAUUGAAGUUAAUAACUCUUCAUAUAAUCAUCAGAACGUUUAGAGAAGUGAUUUCUGUGGUUUCACAUAACCGAUGUCCUGUUGCACAGAGUAAGAGCAAGGUCAGAAUUUGUGAGAAUCAAGAGUGUGACCUUGAACUAACACUGACUUCCUAUUUACAGAGAUGAAGCAUUGGUGGGGGGGAUUGGGGGGGGUUGCUACAAAGUGGAGCAUGCACCACAGAACCGCCUCACAGUCUCCUACUUCUCAUACUUCUGACACUCUUUGCCUGCUCAUUUCCUAAAAUGACUGGUAGACAUGGUGAUGCUAGAGAACCGGCUUGCUUGAUUGUUGAACAUACAGAUUUGCUUAUAUACAUAAUUAAAUAAAAAAUAAUAGAGGUCAUUUUGAAAUUGGGUGCAUUCUAAAGCCACUGCAAAUGAGCAUUUCAAUUCAUGUGAGUGCACUAAUGAGUCAUUCAUAUUUAUUCACUGGAUACUAACAGUAAAGGUCGGUUGGUUUCAAAAACCGUUGUAUUGAAUGUUACAGAUAUGGAAUUAAAUAGCCAUUUGAAAAGACUUCUUUUUACAUUAAUAUAAAUGGAUUAUAACUCAUUUGAAUUGCCUUUUAAAAUACAGAUCAACAUUUUAGUAGACAUUUGUUGUACUAUUAAAUAAACCUAUAGUCUACUUUUCAGUGGAAAUGAAAUAUUUGUAAAUGGCCUUGUUAGCUAAUCUUACUUUUUAACCUUUUCUCUGAAAAGCUAUAAACUUGUAAAGAAGGUUUCUGAUUAGCUCAGUUACGUGGUAUCCCCUUUCUCAGACAUAGUGCUGAACUUAAAGCACUGUUUCUAAUUCACACUGCAGAUAGGUUUUAUAAGGUGUAAAUUAAAAAGAAAAAUAAAGAGGGGAAAGAACCACCUACUAGUGGACACUGUGGUAUAUAGUGUACUCAGGUAUAUAUGUACAGGAUGCAUAUAUGUAUAUAUUUUUUUGAAAGGGCAUAAAGAUUGCCUUUAAUCUGUCAAUGUGGAUUAUAAUAUUUAUAGAUUUUCAUAUGUAACCAUCUCUGCAUUUCAGGAAAAAAUUCAACUGGAUUUAAUAUUUUAUUUACUACAUCCAAUUUGCAGUUAUUUUGUUUAGGAUUUUUACUUUCAUAGCCAUGAGUGAAAUAGGCCAGUAAUUUGUGUUUUUCAUCUGUUUUUUAUGGUAUUGGUUCUCAACUGGAGUGAUUUUGUCCCUCAGAGACAUUUGGCAAUGUCUGAAGACAUAAAUUUCACAACUGAGCCUAGGGGUACUGUUGGCAUCUAGUGGGCAGAGGCCAAGGAUACUGGUAAAGAUCCCUUCUUCUGUUACUUUGAUUAGAUAUUUGUUAGACCUGCUAUUCUAUAUCCCAGGCUGCUCUUCUCUGUUCUAUUUUCUUUUCUCUCUUUACUGCACAUGCUCAGCUAGUUGACUGAGUUUCAGAUGUCAAUAAUUUAACCUUACAGUUUUAAAAGCCUUAUUUUUCUCAAAUCUGUAAGUUUCUUUCUCUUGUACACUUAUGUUUACAACUGUAUCCUUUUCCUUUACUGUUUCACACAUAGCUACAUUGUGUGUCUGAUUCCAACACCUGAGGUUCUUGCUGGGGAGUCUAAAUCUAUUAUUUCUUAUUUCUGGGCCUUCAGUUACACUGUCUUUCCUUUCAUGUUGUAUAUACUUCUAGUAUAGUACUUCUCACAGAGCACUGCACUUAUUUACACAUCUGUCCUGUCUCUUAGUUUGGGAAUAUCUUCUGGGACAGGGCCAUGUCUUAUCAUGUCUUCCCACUUUCUUAUCCCCAGGUAACAGGUGUCUAGUACCUAGCAGAAUUCCAUAAAUGUUUAUUGAAUGAAUGAAUGAGCAGAUGAAUACCCAUCCAUUCAAAUACAAAUGCAUACAGCAUAAAAUCAGUAUACCUUUAUUCAUUUCCUUAUCUACAGAUUCUAAUCAUGCUGGGUUUGUCACUUAAAGUCAGGCUAGUUAAACCAUUUGGUUAUCACCAGGUCUUUGUGUAAAUAUUUGCUGAUAACAAGUCUGUUUCAUUUGAAAAAGUAAAUCACAUUUUUACUUCUAGAGGGCAAAUCAAAGUCUUUUUAGCUUAGUUUGAACUUGCUGAAGUUUCUCUAUGUGGCUUUUCUAAAUUAUUGGUGCAGCAUUAUCACUAAUGUGACUCUCUGAGCAUAGUAGUCCCAUGAAGUCAAAGUUUGUUUGUUUUUUUUUCUUUCUAAGUGAAAUAGUAACUAACAUUACUGCACUUUUAAUAAGUGAACUGAUAAUAAACAUCGGUUGGACAUUUGAGAUAAAUCCUACAUUUGGGAGAAAUAAAUGGACAUAAAAGUAUAUUGUUUAAGCAAAUUGUUAAAAAUAUUUAAAAGUAAUCUGGAUAGUAUUUUGAGCCUUUUUUUUUCCUGAAAAACAUUAGAAACGAUAAUAUGAAUAAACAGAGAAUGUAACUUGGUAGGUCAUUGUCACGGAAUUAUAGAAUUUUUGACUAAAAAUUAUAUAGGUGGAAUCCCAGGGAAAUUAAAUGAUUUGAGCCAGUUGAAAAUGCUAAUUGGUGGACAAAGUGACACUAGAAGCCAAGCUUUCUUUUUUCCCUGCUAUGAUAUUGAUAGGCAACAUGAAGUAGAUACAGAUCAGGUUAAUCACAACCAUGAAGUCAACUGUGCUCCAAGUGUCCCAGAGACCUUCAACUCACAGAGGCCAUGAUCUACAGAGGGGGUAAAUGAAGCCCUGGAGAAACUGACAGAUUUCCUCCAAGUUUCGGACUAUUUAUAGAG